CUUCAUGUCCCAUUCGUGUGCUCCGGUAUCCCUGACUGAACCUGUGUGUACCGACCUUCGUCCGUUCUCCGACCAACCUUCCAUUAAGAAGUUGAAUUGCUGAUAUGUUUUGGAUCAUUCUCCUGCUACAGAACCCAAAUGUGCUUCACCUUGAGGUAAUAAACAUAACUGAUAACUGAACAGUCUCCGUCAGAAUUUUCUGUUCAAGAGCAGAAUGGAUGGUUCCAUCAAUCAUAGCAAGUUGUCCAGGUUCUGAAGGAGGAAGCAUCCUAAGACCAUCACAACAACAACACCAUGUUUACCUGUUGUUCAGGGUGCACCUUGCCUCCUGCCUGAUGACAACUGGGAUAGCCUCCAGCACUCCCAUGACCCUCGUGAGGAUAAGGGGCUCAAAGGAUGGAUGGAUGGACGGACGGACAUAUGCACACUGUAGUCACCCUCCAUGAUAAGAUUGCACAAUUCUCCAGUAUCUUAUGCCAUUCUUCGAUUACCUGAGGCCUUUACUUAUUAAUCCAAGUCACUUCUUUGGCAACACUAUCUUCCUUUUAUUACAUUUUUAUUCUUUAGGAUAGUCAAUAUAAUCGACUUAGUUAUACAAUGCUAGCAAGAACAAACCCGCACCCCAUUUUCGCACUGAGCAUACUUAGAUCCAUUUUGGUUCACUCAACCUUCUUUUUUCUUCGUUGAUGGUAGCACUGCUGUUUUUCUUUGGGCCCAUGGCAUAGAAAAUACUGGAAUAAUAAUAAAAAAAAAAAAAACAUUCUUGAGAAGCACUUGCGAAUGUCCGCACUCAGGCCGUGCUAUGAGCACACACUGGCUUGAGUAAAAAGUGACUGCUUGACUCUAAGUGGGCAGCAGCUCAUCUUGGCACCACCCAGAGUGCCUUCAGCAUCGUUCGGCUAGAAUCAGUUACCUGGUCAACAUGGGUUUAGCUAUGCCCAGGUGUUCGGACACCGAGAAUUGGGUAGAAAACCAAGCAUUUUCUCACACAGAUUUUUGGGUCAAAAACUGAUUUGUACAACCACUGAGAUGUUUGAACUCUUUGGUUCCACUGUACAUUGUUUCAGCUAAUUUGGGUUUUGUAUAU